rnacentral:rRNA from 1 species
AAUUUUGAGAGUUUGAUCCUAGCUCAGGAUGAACGCUGGCGGCGUGCCUAACACAUGCAAGUCGGUCGGUCGUGCCUCACUAUCGUUUAGCACUCCCUAAACUUAAAAGUAAAAAUUCAAAAAGUAAAACCACAAGGCAAAAGUCAAAAGUUUUAAAUUUUUAGUUGUAGUUUUUACUUUUUCGUUUUGAGUUUUGAAUUUGAGUGCCGAGCGGCAGCGAGGCACGAUAGAGGCGAACGGCUGAGUAAUAAGUAGGAAUCUACCCCUAAGAGGGACAUAGCCCCGCGAAAGCGGGGGUAAUUUCCCAUAUGAUCGCAAGAUCAAAGUCGCAAGACGCUUAGGGAGGAGCCUACUGCCUAUCAGCUAGUUGGUAGGGUAAUGGCCUACCAAGGCUAUGACGGGUAGGGGGUCUGAGAGGAUGGCCCCCCAGAAUGGGACUGAGAACGGCCCAUACUCCUACGGGAGGCAGCAGUGAGGAAUCUUGCGCAAUGCUCGAAAGAGUGACGCAGCGACGCCGCAUGGUUGAAGAAGCCCUUCGGGGUGUAAAAACCUUUUAUCUGGGACGAUUGUGACGGUACCAGAAGAAUAAGAGCCUGCUAACUACGUGCCAGCAGCCGCGGUAAUACGUAGGGCUCAAGCGUUAUCCGGAUUUAUUGGGUGUAAAGAGCUCGUAGGUGGUCUGAAAAGUUUUCUGUUAAAUCUCCCGGCUUAACCGGGAACCUGCGGAAAAAACUUUCAGACUGGAGGAAAAUAGGGGCAGACGGAACUGCCGGUGUAGGAGUGAAAUCCGUUGAUAUCGGCAGGAACACUCAUGGCGAAGGCAGUCUGCUAGGUUUUAUCUGACACUGAGGAGCGAAAGCGUGGGGAGCGAACGGGAUUAGAUACCCCGGUAGUCCACGCCGUAAACGAUGCCAACUAGCUAUUAAAAGCAUCGACCCUUCUAGUAGCGAAGCUAACGCGUUAAGUUGGCCACCUGGGGAGUACGGCCGCAAGGCUAAAACUCAAAGGAAUUGACGGGGACUCGCACAAGCGGUGGAGCAUGUGGUUUAAUUCGACGAUAAGCGAAGAACCUUACCAGGGCUUGACAUCCUGCGAACCUGCCGGAAACGGUGGGGUGCCCGCAAGGGAGCACAGAGACAGGUGUUGCACGGCUGUCGUCAGCUCGUGUCGUGAGAUGUCGGCUUAAGUGCCUAAACGAGCGAAACCCUCACCCUAAGUUAAUUUAUCUUAGGGGACUGCCCCAGCAAUGGGGAGGAAGGCGGGGAUGACGUCAAGUCAGCGUGGCUCUUACGCCCUGGGCGACACACGUGCUACAAUGGCGGCUAUAACGAGUCGCAAUCCAGCAAUGGAAAGCUAAUCUCUUAAAAGCUGUCACAGUUCGGAUUGAGGGCUGCAACUCGCCCUCAUGAAGCUGGAAUCGCUAGUAAUCGUGGGUCAGCCACACCACGGUGAAUACGUUCUCGAGUCUUGUACACACCGCCCGUCAAGUGAGCCGAGUCGGCAACAGCAGAAACCC